rnacentral:rRNA from 1 species
CGAACGCUGGCGGCGUGCCUAAUACAUGCAAGUAGAACGCUGAAGGAGGAGCUUGCUCUUCUGGAAGAGUUGCGAACGGGUGAGUAACGCGUAGGUAACCUGCCUGGUAGCGGGGGAUAACUAUUGGAAACGAUAGCUAAUACCGCAUAAGAUUGAAUAUCGCAUGAUAAUUGAUUAAAAGAUGCAAAUGCAUCACUACCAGAUGGGCCUGCGUUGUAUUAGCUAGUAGGUGAGGUAACGGCUCACCUAGGCGACGAUACAUAGCCGACCUGAGAGGGUGAUCGGCCACACUGGGACUGAGACACGGCCCAGACUCCUACGGGAGGCAGCAGUAGGGAAUCUUCGGCAAUGGGGGCAACCCUGACCGAGCAACGCCGCGUGAGUGAAGAAGGUUUUCGGAUCGUAAAGCUCUGUUGUAAGAGAAGAACGAGUGUGAGAGUGGAAAGUUCACACUGUGACGGUAUCUUACCAGAAAGGGACGGCUAACUACGUGCCAGCAGCCGCGGUAAUACGUAGGUCCCGAGCGUUGUCCGGAUUUAUUGGGCGUAAAGCGAGCGCAGGCGGUUAGAUAAGUCUGAAGUUAAAGGCUGUGGCUUAACCAUAGUACGCUUUGGAAACUGUUUAACUUGAGUGCAGAAGGGGAGAGUGGAAUUCCAUGUGUAGCGGUGAAAUGCGUAGAUAUAUGGAGGAACACCGGUGGCGAAAGCGGCUCUCUGGUCUGUAACUGACGCUGAGGCUCGAAAGCGUGGGGAGCGAACAGGAUUAGAUACCCUGGUAGUCCACGCCGUAAACGAUGAGUGCUAGGUGUUAGGCCCUUUCCGGGGCUUAGUGCCGUAGCUAACGCAUUAAGCAC